GACGAACGCUGGCGGCGUGCUUAACACAUGCAAGUCGAACGGAAAGGCCCUGCUUUUGUGGGGUGCUCGAGUGGCGAACGGGUGAGUAACACGUGAGUAACCUGCCCUUGACUUUGGGAUAACUUCAGGAAACUGGGGCUAAUACCGGAUAGGAGCUCCUGCUGCAUGGUGGGGGUUGGAAAGUUUCGGCGGUUGGGGAUGGACUCGCGGCUUAUCAGCUUGUUGGUGGGGUAGUGGCUUACCAAGGCUUUGACGGGUAGCCGGCCUGGGAGGGUGACCGGCCACAUUGGGACUGAGAUACGGCCCAGACUCCUACGGGAGGUAGCAGUGGGGAAUAUUGCACAAUGGGCGGAAGCCUGAUGCAGCAACGCCGCGUGCGGGAUGACGGCCUUCGGGUUGUAAACCGCUUUCGCCUGUGACGAAGCGUGAGUGACGGUAAUGGGUAAAGAAGCACCGGCUAACUACGUG
rnacentral:rRNA from 1 species